UGAGCCAUUUCCUGCCUGGCUCACACAAACAAGUAACUCAUGAAAACAAGGAACUUAAAACAAGGAACUCAUGAAAACAAUUAACUGACAAAAACAAAGAACUUGUAAACAAGGUGCUUUUCCACUGUGCUUCUGGAUUUUUUUCUAUGCCUUUCAGCUAAGGCCUUUGCCUGUUUCUUAGUAAUAUUGACAGCCCAGUUGUCAUCAAGUGGAGUUCCCACUGAGAAGGGAGUCCCUAAAGGAUCGCCCCUGAAGGCUGGCCAGCAGAUUUCUCCAGCCUUUCAGUAGACCUGAGAGGCUCUACGCAGCAGCAGACUGAAAGAUGCGGAUACCCAUAGCCAACAUUGAACAGAGGUUGGGGACACUUAUGGAAGAGUU